CAAAAACCAAAUCGAUUUCUUCCAAGUAUCAAACGCUCGUUUUAAAUCAUGGUGGAUGGUGCAAUUUGCUCAAUUUUAUCAUGGUUGCUCAAAUUUUAGUUCAGUGGUAGCAGACGGAUAAAAUGUCAAUUUUAUGAUGAUUUAUGAAGUGUUUUGUUUACAUCGAGAAAUCAAUUUUAUCGAGUUUGAUUGAAUGAUAGAAUUGCGCAUUACUACCGGCUGUGACAAUAACCAGCUUUCUUACUGGCGGGACGAUCCGGAUAACGGCAAGAACACUCAGUGCAUUAGGCGAGUGCUAAAAUUUCUCCAAUGGAAUGUCGUGGGUUGUUCAGAAAGUCUCAACCUAGCCAUUUGUUGUGUCAUAGCUGUGUGUUCAUUCAUUCAUCAAUCCAUCAUCGUCGACCGAGAGCAAGGCACCGACGACAACGGCAACGUACAACCCCUGCAAAAAAUUCCCGUCGAACCAACGAAAUCAAAGCAAGGAGAUUGAGGUUAUUACUGCAGUAUCAUCACCAUGGCUAAGUUUGGUAAAAUUUCGGACAGCGUAAGCAGCCGAGUUCUCGAUCUCGAAUAUAACAUCAAUCCUGUUGAAUUCCACCCAGUGGAGGGAUGUGGAUUUAGCUGCUGCUCUUUUAUUUUCUUCGGAAAAUCUUCAUCGAGAAAAUAAAUGACGUGUAUUUCUAUUGUGAAAGCAAAUGACCACUCCAGGCUGGUAAACAAGGCAACAAAAUAGUCUGUGGUGUAAAAAUGGCGUGUAUUAAAGGGAGCUGAAAACUGUAUGACCAACUGAAAGCGAAAGAAAAAAUCUUGGACCACGUGAUCAUUUUAUUCGACCAAAUUUAUCAACGAUGUUAAGUGCUAGAGUUCAGUGUGCAGAGUGGAAUGUUUUAUAAAAUGCAAAC